GGAGGGUUGUCCGAGCGGUUUAAGGAGCCAGUCUUGAAAACUGGUGAUGGAGCAAUCCACCGUGAGUUCGAAUCUCACACCCUCCGCCA
rnacentral:tRNA from 1 species